rnacentral:rRNA from 1 species
GACAUUUACAAGAGCGAGGAGCUGUUUUGGCAGCGUCGAGGGGGCCAGAACUGGCUCCUUAAGGGGGAUGCGAACACUACCUACUUCCAGGCGAUAGCCAAUGGCCGCAGGCGGAAAUGUGCCAUCCCUUUCCUCUGGGAUGGGGAUGUUCUUCUGAGGAGCCCAGAUGACAUCUCCACCCAUAUUUACUCCUUCUAUAACGAGUUGUUUUUGGCUGAGCUGCAUGGAGCCGUCACCCUCUGCGCUGACUUUUGGCCGCUUGCAGACCAGGUCUCCGAUGCGGAGAAUGCGGAGCUUACUCUCCCUUUCUCUCCCGAGGAGGUGGGACGGGCCAUUGCUUCUAUGAAAGCUUGCUCGGCCCCAGGGCCGCAUGGCCUUCCGGUAAUUUUCUUCCAGAAAUUCUGGGAGAUCCUGCAUCCGGUCAUUAUGCCCAUGUUCCAUGAGUUCUAA